GGUGGCUUUGUGAGUGAAGAAAGAAAGAAGAUGCUGGACAAGCUGUGGGACGACGUGGUGGCGGGGCCUCACCCGGAGACGGGCCUCGAGAAGCUCCGCAAGGCCGCCACUGCCCGCCCCAUCCUCAUCGACAAAGGUACUCUACUGUCGUCCUACUCAUCGUCAUCGUCCAACCUAUAAUUAUAGAAAUGAAUGAAUCCCUCAUUGUUUACGUCGUUCGGGAACAAGCAUACUGCAUGCUCUAGCAGUAAAAUCCUACACAAGUUAAUUACCCGCUAAUAAUUUGCCCGCGCUGCAAGGUUCGUUUCACUGACUGAUAUAACGUACUGACCACCGUUUUAUUUUUCUUUUUUACUAUACUAAUAAAUAAUUAGACGCGGAUGCCGGAGCCGCGGGGAGCUACAAGCGGACGCAGUCGAUGCCGUCGACCCCGACGACGCCGGUGACGCCGUCGUCGUCGUCGACGACGACGACGCCGCGGGGCGCCAGCAACGUGUGGCGCAGCGUGUUCCACCCGGGGAGCAACCUGGCCACCAAGGGCAUGGGUGCCAACCUCUUCGACCGCCCGCAGCCAAACUCCCCCACCGUCUACGACUGGUAAGUACUAGUAGCAAUAAGCAGAAGCAUGCAUGCAUCAUCUCGCUGCCCCGUCGGUGGCUAUGAAUCACUUGGUUAAUUGCAGAUACACCUACAACGUCGGUGUGGCUAGCCACGUGAUCUGCUCAUUCAACAGCAGAUCCAGCAUCUAACUAAUAAUUAUGAGCCCGUAACUUAAACUAUUUUUCGAUGAUUUAUUAUGCCGAUAAAAAUAUUGCUAAAUAGCUGACGGAUUCGACAUAUAAGUCCAAACAAAUAGACUCUAUAAGCACAAACUUGGGCUGCUGUGCUGCUGCUCUCCCACUCUUCCUCUCAUGAGCCCUGUUUAGCUAAAUGAAUGGUUGAUCUUAAUUAGUUUCUGUUACAAGCACCCAGAAAGUUCCAUAAUCAAGACGAUACAUGUGCACUGGUGAAGUCAGCACACACACAAUAUUAAAAAAAUAAUAAUAAGCAAAAGCAAUAUGAGAUCCACUUAGCCAAUAACCAUGAUUCGCUCACGUGGCAUGCCAAUCCAGAAGCACGACCGAGAAGAGUGAGACAGUGACAGAGACUGCUAUACUUCACUGUUUGAGUGUUUACUUUGUUGGAACGGAUAAGGCCUAAAGGACAAGCACGCUGGUGGCCAGAUUUAUUUUAGUUAAUAAUAUUAAUAUACUCCGUAUGUAUAGUUUCACUAAUAUAGUACGCAAAAAUAAUUAAGCUGUGAAAACGAUCUAGUUAAACAAUGGUGUCAUUUGGACUUUAGCAAACAAAAUAUCGUGACACGGAAUGUUGUCAAUAUUUGAUUUCAGGCUCUACAGCGACGAGACCAGGAGCAACCACCGUUAGAUCGAUCGGAUGAGGCCGAGGAUGAUGAAGGGCCCGGCGUCUCUGUCAGGCCAUCAUGUUUGCUGGUCCUUGUGGUUAUCUAAAACGCAUGCAUGCUCUAUUAUUAUAGUACUUCUGCAGUUCUGCUGUCGCUGUUGCUGAUAAAGACUUUGCCGUUUAAUUGUCCUUUAUUAUGUGUUAUUAUGGAGUGAUGAGUGAUAUGCAGUCGCUCCUAGUAGUGAGUAGUGAGUAGUGAGUAUUUACUUGGUAUAGUACUUGGUCUGGUCAGUUCCUCUGACUCGGCUUGGCCAUUCAAGGGGAGCCCUGUUGUUGCUGCUGUUGUGUGUGUGGUGUGUACUGGCUGUUCUCCAUCAUCUUGUAAAUAUUUUGCUUUGGCCAGGGCGUGUACUAGUAACUGUGCCUGUUUCUUCCAUUUUAAUUUACAAGUCUUGAUGUGUAAUAAUCACCGGCGCAGCGGCGCUGAGGACAUGUAUUACAACAAAAUUACUCUGCAUGGACCCAGACAAGGAUUUGUUCUCUCGCUGGUUAAGCCUAAACAUACACACACCAUACAAACAGACAGUGGUAUUGUAUCGAUCUAUGUAGGGCCUGUUUGGAACGCAAGAAUGAAAAAUACAUGAAUAGAAGAAAACACAGAUACGGAGAUUGAAAAACAGAGCAUUGAAAAAUACAAGAAUAAAUAAGAGGUGACGUCAGGAAUCCAAAACAUAGGAAUUGGUACAGGAACAAUAAAAGAAAAAUAGCACUUUCAUUAACUAAUAAAAAAUGAUCACAUGCGAUAUUUGAGCUCUACAACUCUCUUUCUGGUCUAGGGUCUAGGGUUCGUGGACGAAGUCUAUGAAGAAUUCACCGCUUUUUUAUCAUUUCUUUUAGUUUUUAUCCAGUUAUCCUCGUCUCAUUGCUCUCUAUGGGUGUGUUUGGUUUGUUUCCUAUAUGAGCCUGGCCAGUAAAACUAAGCCAGGCUACCUCAAGCCUGCCCUUAGUAAGCCAAGACCUGCUUGUUUGGUUGCAUGCGCUGCUGAGCCUGACUAGGAUGAAUUCGUGUUUGAUUGGUUGAUUUGGUUUGUAUACAGUUACCUCUUCCUUGGGCCGGUGAGUUUACCUCCUUUGAGACAUUUUCUCAAACACCUGGCAUACACACGCAUUGAUCUUCCUCCUCCCAUCAUGCCCAGCUGCAGCCGCAAAAGUUGUACUACGAAUCAGCAAACUACCAAGGAAGAGGGGACCGAGAUUGCAGUCAUCGCGGCGAGAAUGGCCUCACCUGCGCAGCGGAGAGCCUGGGCACCGGGUGGAGCCUGGUGGCCCACAUGACAGGUCCAUAUGAGGAAGAUGAGCAGGGAGCCGAACGUGAGCAGAAAGACGGUGAUGGUGUACGGCAGCGCGCGCGUGUGUCGAGAAGCCUCUGCGGCGGCGUCCUGCAUGGUGCAGCAACGCCCAUGCCAUGGGCGAGCGCGCGCGUGACGACCCAGGGCCAGGAGUGGUGCGCGCGAAUGGCCAAGGCCAAAGGAGGUCCGCGCUGCGGCCAAGUCCGGGUGCUCCCGCUCCCACGUCGUCGUCCUGUGGCGAGAAGAGAGGGAGCGUGGUCGGCGUCGUGGCGCUGAUCAUUGGGACCAGCAUCAGGUCCGGCAUCCUCACCGUGGGAGGAGCCCAUGGCGCUGGAGAAGUCGUGCCUCUGCCUCUGCGGGCGGUGAACGCGGAUCUAGACAGUCGUCGCUUCGAGGUCGACGACGGCAGCGCCACCGGGUCGAUGGCGCCGCACGUCGCCAGCUCCGACGACAGCCUCACCACCUCCUAGUCCCCCUCCCUGGCGUCUGCAGCCUCCUCACUGCCGCCGCCGCUGCCGCCGGAGACGGAGCCCGUUCCGGGCAGCUGGUCCGAUGCGGUCGGGUCCGCAUUGGCGGCCGACUUUGGCUUGCGGCUGCACGCCGAGCACAUGGACGACGUUAGCGCGACGGUGGCGGCCACACCACGAAGAAGGACAACGCGACGAAGAGCGGUGACGAGAACGGCCUGGCGGCUGGCUAGAGCCUGGCUCAGUUGGGAAGCCCGAUUUGGGCUUUCAAAGCUGGUCAGGCUAUCUCUGUAUGGUUGGUCCAAGUUGGCCAUGCCCCAAGCCUUCUUCAACCAAACACCCAUUUUCUAGCCCAAAUGAGCCCUGGCCACAUGUGGAUUGCAACCAAACACACUCAAUGUCUUGCAUCUCGCUCAUUUUUUGCUGGAUCAGUAUGAGAAAGGAUUGAAGCAACGCAAUGAGCGGAGUGAGAUGGUGGUUGCGUGCUUGCGAGCAGCCAUCAAGCUCAGCCGUCGAUUCAGAGACCUCCGUUGACAGUCAAUGGAGGAAAGCGAGAUGGGGGCGGGCUAUUCAUGGCGACGUACACCGGUGAUGACGAGACAAAAAUAUAGAUUUUCUGGUUCUAUCUCCUCCCUAAUCGGAUUUUAAUCGCCCAAUAUUUUCUCGUCUACCUCUUUGCCUCGGGCUUCCACCAAACCUUGAGCUCGAACUGUAUUUUUUAUUUCCUACGUUUUAUGGAGACGAAGAAUCCUUUCCAGAGGAAAGGCUAAGAGUGUUCUUUUUGUUCCAAACGGUGACUGACGUAAGCAAACCAUAGGAAUCAGUUUCCUUUCAAAUUCAUGUGAUCCAAACAGGGCCGUAAUAUGUGCGGCAGCAGGGGAAUGCGAGAUUUAUCAGAUCACAACAUAAUGCACCGUGAUGGGUAACGGAGCCCAAGUUUGGCUCUGCCGCUAGUAAUAAUUAUCCGUUGUUUAGUUCCAAAAAAUUUUAGAAAAUAGAAACUGUAGCACUUUCGUUUGUAUUUGACAAAUAUUGUCCAAUCAUAGACUAACUAGACUUAAAAGAUUCGUCUCGUCAAUUUCGACCAAACUAUGCAAUUAGUUUUUAUUUUUGUCUAUGUUUAAUACUUUAUGCAUACGUCUAAAGGUUCGAUGUGACGGAGAAUUUGAAAAAUUUUGCAAUUUUUUUUGAAACUAAACAAAGCCCUAACUAAUCACUGAAAAAUGAUUGCCACGUCGUCGUCACUCGUCAGGUUGCCGUGUUGGGCUUGCUGACCGUGACUUUGCCAUUUGUAAUCGCACUCGGGCACCCGUGAAGAUUCGAUCGGAUCGGCAAGCUUGUUCAUUUUCUGUCGAAUCUACAAGCUAUUUAACAGUAUUUUUUUUAAUUAUUUAAUAAUAUUUUUCUCUCACAAUAAAUCAGCAAAUAGUAUUUUCAAUCAUAAUUUAUUAACCAAGCAAAUAGACAUGCUAUCUGAUCAUAUCUCGUUAGGGGAGUCGGCUAGCCAGUGGAUACUUUCAUGAAUACUUGUGGGGUAGUUUUUCAAUUAUUACCCGUGGGGUAGUGCCAUUAAGCUUUCCAUAGUGGUGAGUCGAUUUUUUAUGAAGAGAGAUCAUGUAAGCUGCAGUAGUGAGUCGAUUUCAAAGAUCUACAAUGGUGAGUCGACUUUUUCUGUGGGCUAAGCAAAUAAAAGAUUAUUUUGUUCUCUUGAAUAAGACACUUGCACAAGCGAACUGGUACUUCCUAUCCGGUAAAGUUUUCUUUGCCCUCGAAGACAUAUGCCCUCACUUUUCUACCUAUUGGAUUCGCUUUGAGAAGUGUGCAAACACACAUCUCAACACGAAACUGUUUUGAGAUAUGUAUUUGCACAUUUCUCAAAGCGAAUCCAAUAGGUGGGAGAGUGAGGGCAUAUGACUUUAAGAGUAAAAAAACUGUGUCUCCUAUCCAUUCUCUUCUCAUCUUCUUUCGUAUGAGUAUUAUUUUAAUCGGUAUGAAUUGAUUCAUAUUUUCUGAUCGGUUCCUAACAUACUCUAUGCAUCGAUUUGCUAAAGGGGUCGCUCCAUUACUCGUGCCAAUUAAAAUAUUCUCAUGAGUCACUUUAAAAGCACCACUGGAAAAGCCCUUAGUACUAGUCAAUUGACUAUUGCUUAUCGUGCCAUUUGUUUCGAGGACCUUCUUUGCAUGUUACAUAAUGCGGAGGUAAAAAUGGAUUUUAACAAUGCCUAGAAUGCUAAGGUGAAAAUAGAUUUUAAGGGAACUCAUCAUAUUGUGCAUCUAGGUGAAACUAAGGUCUUGUUUAGCCAAACACUUCUAGAUAGCUUCAAGCGAAAAGAAGUUGUCCAAGGGUGCCAAACACAAUGAUUCUUCGAAGACUUAUUUUGCCCGUGAUUGUUUUCCUCGCAUCGUUUCAACAUCAACGCAUAAUCGCCUUGAGCCCUGUGUGUUGCUUCCACUUGCUAAAGCCCCACGUCCGCAUCCCCUUGCUCGACACUGCUUCUGGAUGCUUGGCCCUGCCUCCGUCUCCCUCUCCCCUCCCUACCACUAGAGCCAAAGCAGCCGAGCUCGACAAUGGUUGGUGCCUAGGUGAUGCCCGUGAGAUGGGAGCAGCGGUGGCUAUGGAUCUACCUCAUCCUUUGACAAUGAUGGGGCAAGUGAUGACCACGAGACAGGGCAGCAACGGAUCUCGUGAGAAGGCACUACGAUGGCGACGACAUAUGGGCAUGGACGACAUCUUCCUCGCCAAGCUCCUCCUCUUCCUUGGCAUCCUCGUCGGGGCUUGAACAUUUGUGUUCUUCCUCCCCUAGAAUAUGUCAUACCAAGCGCUAAGCUUUUUCUUCGCAUGAUUCUUGACUACUCGCAAUGUGUCCGGUGCUGAAAAAUUAAUGCUUAUGCCAACUAAAUCAAUGCUAAGAAAAUGCCUAAAAACACGACAACAUUGUGCGUCGACGUGCAUGCACCAGAUAGACUUGUGUCAGAUCCACUAUCUUGGUUUUUGGUGCAUGAGAAAGCAUCUAGUACAUGAGCAUCGAAGCAAGAACAUGCCUCGGUGUCACCUUUUUUUUUUAACUCAACAUCGACCACAAUGGUAUGACUCAAUGCUGAAAUAGGAGAAAGAGAGUUUCAAUAUCGAUUUUUUGCAACGCUGUGGAUAGUCUUAUAGAAGUUUGUUGUUCAAGUUGUCCAGCUUGGGGUUUAAGGGAGGGCUAGAAAAGUUGUUCCAAACAGGGGCUACGAUAUAUGAGAUUUGGAAUAGCGUUUUAAGUGAAAAUGGAUAAAAGUUGAUAUUAUCAAGUAUGUGGCUUCAUGUGAUAUUUGUCAGAAAGUGACGGUUAAGCAUCAGAAACCUGCUAGGUUUCCAAAAUCAUUGAAGAUUCUUAAGUGCAAAUGGAGUAAAGAAUAAUAUAAAGAAUCGUGUGAUUGGAUGUCCUCGCUCUCCGGAAGGAUGCUAUCGAAUAUUAUCCGACCUACAGUGGUGAAGCUGCGCCCGGUAACAGGUAACUUAAGUUGAAGAAAGAAAAGAACGGAUGAUAAAAGGUCUAGAGCGGUAUUGGAUCUAACAACUUAGGUUAUAUUUGGUUGAGCUUCUAAAAUUGCUUCUACUUUUUUAGAAGCAGCUAAUUUCGUGUAAUACAGUUUUAGAAACACUUUGGAUCCUGCUUAUGGCUUUCUGUUUUUCAAAACGUAUAAAAAUAGAAAGCCGUUUCACAAUUAUUUGAAGAAAAACAGAGAGAAUAUGUUAUAUACUUAUUUUAGCCAAAUAAUUUACACCCACAAACUAACUAUAGCUCAUAAUAACUUUUUUUCAUAGCCCGUAACAGAUUUUCCACGAAUCAUAAAUCAAUGAGUGUGUUUACUGUUUAGUUUUCCAUAAAAUACAAGAUACAAAAUAUUAAGUAAUACUUUGGAUGAUAAAAUAUAAAAUGUCAUAUAAAAUGGAUGGAUCAAAAUCCAGAUUUUUUUAGACGAAAGAGGAACUAUAAACAACUUCUAAACCCCUGAUCAACGUACAACACCCCACAUCUCAGCUCUCACUCUGCCCAGUCAACGGCAGUUCAGUUUUCCUUCACUCCGUCCCGCGGCAUGCUUCUCCUCAGCCCCUCGCCGCCGGCUCCCGCCGCCGCGGUAACCGCCCCCCGUCGUAUCCUACUUGCUCCCCACAGGCGCCUCAAUGCUACGUCCACCCCACCGCGCCUCGCCUGCCUCCGCCUUCGCCCCGCCACCCCGCUCCGCGCCCGCGGCAUUCCGUCGAGGACCGGGUGCCGCGCGGCCGCCGAUGCCGAUGCAGCGCCCUCCCAGGCUCCAGGCGGCGAUGGAGGCGUGCGGGGCGCGGUGGUGCGCGUCGGGGAGGCUCUGUCGCUGGGGUUCCCGGUGUGGGUGGCGUCGGCCUGCGCGCUGGCUCUCUGGCGGCCGCCGGCCUUCCUCUGGGUCGGACCCACCGCGCAGAUGCUCGGCCUCUCCUUCACAAUGCUCGGUCGGCGCCUUCCUUCCCUUCCGUAGUUCCGUUCCCACGCUAGUUGCUAGUACUUGUUCUUCCCCUCAUGGUGCAAAUUUUUUUGGGAACUAAACAAGGCCCAAGUGGACUCAAAACUCUACUUCCCCUGUGGGGUUAUUAGCUCUGUUGAUGUCCUCUAUAAGUCUAUAUGAUAUUAGAACAGCUGCUAGCAAUGAGAUCACUGAAUAAAUGCACAAGCUGAUACCAAGGAAAGAUAUCCCAAAAUGAUAAAGGACAGGCAAGUGAUUAGGAGAAAAGAAGAUGAAGAUUUGAAAAAAGAACCGUACAAUUUCAGUACUCUAGCACAAUCCGGCAUCUUUUGCAUAUUCUCACAAUCUCACUUUGAUACGAGUUUUUGGCUUUUUCUACGUAAGAUGUUCUCUUUACUGUGCCAUUAUGGUGGAGGCAGCAGGACCAAAUUCUCGAGCACUCUUCAGUUCAUGGAUUAAACCAAAUUGCCGUAGCUACGAUUAAUAUAACCUUGUACUCACGUCUGGUGUCACUUUACAUGUGCAACCUGAGGAGUGUUUACUUUCUUGUGUCUGGACCUGGACGUGUUAUUCAGCCCUGGUUUCAUUUGGGAACCAUUGUAUUUAUAGUGGGGUAAUUGGUAUAUGAUUUAUACCUACAGGGAUGGGAAUGACAUUGACUUUGGAUGACCUCAAAACCGCAUUAUUGAUGCCGAGGGAGUUAGCUGCUGGAUUUAUACUGCAAUACACGGUCAGUUCCUCCCUUUUUGGUUCUUCAUAUGUCUGAAUCCUUGUAAUCAUAUUCUGUGAGUUCAAAAUACACAUACAUUUACACUAUUGAUGCAUAACGUUAGUGUAUUUGGUAGUUAGGAUUAGAGUUUUCCUUGUCACAGACUCCAUUAAGAUUUAAGAGGAGGUCCACAUGACUACAUGAGUUGGUGACUUGGUAUAGUGAAGAUGGAAUCCUGAUCAUUGAGGCUAGCAGAUUAGAAAAGAGGGAAUCAAAUGAAGUUGUCAGAUAGUACAGUCAUGCUACGUUUGAUGAUUUAAGGAAGCAAGAAAGCAAUAAAUCUACCCCCCCCCCCCCAACCCACACACUCUAGAGUUUGUACGCUUAUUGUCACGGCCCUUCACUAGUGGCCUAUUUGGAUUGAGCCACCAGGUGAUCCAUCGAACCAUCCAAUCCUAAAUCUGAGCCUAGUAACUUGUUUGGUUUGCAUCCAUGGUUCCUUAUGUCCAUGGACCUGUCCAUUUUAAGCCAACCGGCGAGCCUUUUGUGGGGAUCAACUCAUCCAAAGAAAAACGUCCGAAGAUGUCCUGCAUUGUUGGGUUCCGUGCCAGUCAAUCCAACAAACCAAACACGCUGUAGAGUUUAUCACAUUACCUACCAUGUCGAGGUUCCACGCCUGCCGGUUCAACAAACCUACUCUCUUGGUAGCAAAGGCAUAUCACACCACAACAUCUGGUAUAAGAAACAUGGUUGUUUUCAUUGUUCCCAAUACCGGUUACUGUUAAUAUACAGACAUAUAUUUUCUGUUUUCUCUCUUUCUGGCCCAUGUAGGCCUUAUGGCCCUUUGUAUAUACUUGCAACCCUAGACUCAAUCGAUGGUGUGUGAGGUUAUUCUUCCCUAACAGGAUUCUUUCUAAAAAAAAUUCUUCCCUAACAGGAACAAUUCGCAAAACCUGAAAUAAGUUCCAGUGAAUUGCAUAACAGAGACCAAAAAAGGAAAAAAAAAACUUUCCUUGUAGCAUGAACUAUGCAGAAGUUUCAACAAGUUGGGGCCUGACCCUAGGUUCCACAUAUCACAUCAUGAUUGAGUCAUAAGUGCAUCCUGAAAAAUACUUUUAGGUAGGUAUUUAAACACUAAAAAUAUCAUGAUUACCGUUGUUGUAAGUGGAUGAAAAGCCAUAUAAAUAUUAAACCAUACUGCUUACAUCUUCGUUAUCUAUGAGACUAUUACUACAACUGCAGAGUCGUCCCUUGUAAAAUUUGGCGCAUCUUCUGUUUAUAAGCAUAUUUAAUCGGUGAUGACAUGGAUAUGUAUUUUAUGUUUUUCCCCUCCAUGUGCAAGAAAAAAUCCAGAGUGAGUGAUUUAUGUACAGGUGAUGCCACUGUCAGGAUUUUUUGUGAGCAAGCUGUUGAAAUUGCCAUCCCAUUAUGCUGCUGGACUAAUUUUAGUGGCCUGUUGCCCUGGAGGUGUGUAUGCACUUCCCUUCCUUUUUAUCUAUAGAUUGGCUACUGGCACUUGAACUGAGAAGGAAAAUGUAUCUGCAGGCACAGCGAGCAACAUUGUGACCUAUUUAGCAAGGUAAUGAAAAAAUAAAGUGUCAUGCCAAGAAUAAAUGCCAUCACAAGCCUUGUUAAAACUUAAAACUAUAAUAAUCUGGAAAUGUUGGCAGAAUGAUAUAUUUUAAGUGAUUAACGAAUGUCAAGGUGAUGAAUAUCUUGAAUCUUCAGUGGAUAUAACUGACUAGUAAGGAAAAUUAACUUGAAAUAAGUUAGUGCAUUUGCAUUUAAUUCAAAGUCAAUGGAGGAAAAUAAACAAAAUUUCAGGAAUAGGGAAUUGUAUUGAAAAGUAAAGAGACUUAGAUAAACUAAUAUUCAAAUUGCAGGGCAAAUGUUGCUCUUUCAGUCCUGAUGACAGCAGUAAGCACUUUUGCUGCAGCGGUGAUGUUCUACUCUCACAUCUGUAAUCCUCAACUUAGCUGUUAUCUUUUGCUUUUUAUCCACAUCUUGCUCCCUGAUGCAGUUCAUGACCCCUCUCCUGACAUCCAAACUUGCUGGGCAAUAUGUUGCAGUAGAUCCAAUGGGACUGUUUGUGUCCACAUCUCAGGUGCUGCAAAUUUCUUUUUUUAUUUUCUGUCUUACAUCUAAUUUUUUUGACCCCUGGCUAAUGUUGUUUUUUUUUUUCAGGUUGUCCUCGCACCUGUCCUUUUGGGUGCUCUACUUAAUCAGUAUUGCAAUGGUCUGGUUCACUUAGUGUCCCCGUUGAUGCCCUUCAUUGCUGUAGCGACAGUAGCUGUUCUCUGUGGCAAUGCUAUUGCACAGAACGCUUCAGCAAUCCUAGCAUCUGGGUCGCAAGUGGUUUUAUCUGUUGGUUGCUUGCAUGCAUCUGGCUUUUUCUUCGGCUAUGUUCUUUCAAGAUUACUUGGCAUUGAUAUCUCUUCUGCAAGAACAAUCUCUAUUGAGGUUGGCAUGCAGGUAACUGAAGCAGGCAACUCUUAAUCACUUGGUGUUGGUGAACCAAGUGUCUCCUCAUUUUAGUUGUCAUGUUUCCAAAGACCUACGACACCGACCUCAGUUUAUGCCCUUCCAAUUGUACAAUCGGCUGCCUUAUUUAUAUCUGAACGAUUUUGAUAUUUUUUUUCAGAACUCAGUGCUGGGCCUUGUCCUUGCAACCAAGCAUUUCGGCAACCCUCUCACGGCUGUUCCAUGUGCUGUUUCGAGCAUCUGCCACUCGGUCUACGGUAGCAUUUUGGCUGGGAUCUGGAGGUCUAUGCCCACCAAGGACAAGGGAGAAUGAUGCGAUGAUCAUGUCAACCGUCUGAAUUCUCUGUUCUCUUGAUGUAUGAAGGAUUAUACCCGUGGGAGUAAGCCGUUGAUAGAAUGACGGGUGGUUACACUGUCAGUAGUAGCACUUUGUGUAUGAUCUAUUGCAGCAAAGAGUAAACACGUCAGGGUGGUGUGAGCUAUAAAACACUAGGCUGCUAGUGGUUCAUUUCUUUUCUGGAGAUCUCUUGACGAGGGUUUCGUUGGACUCGGAUAGUGUAGUUGGUGAAUACUGUACAUGAUUGCUAUGGAUAUAUAUACCAUGGCAGCUUGUUUAUCACACAUUGACUUCAACAGCUUGAUAUAAUAAAACAGUAACGCUCAGGUAUAAUCAUCUCAAGGUUAAAUACGACUGACCUUUUGUCAUCAUACAAAGCAACGACAAAAAAAGUAAUUUCUGUUACAUAUCUUUUUUAAAUCAGAUUUCUGUUACAUAUAUAUCUGGGAAGUCGUUCGCAGCACGGAUUGGCUGCGGUCUGAAGAAUAUGAAGGGAUGAAUUCCAAAAGCUGAAACCGGUGAACUUGUGGAAGCAAAAGAACUUAACCACCCGAGGAGAACUCAGCCUUCACCCAACCGAGAAACUCCCCGAGUACUGGCAGUGCAGACCGAAUUUUGGGUUGACAGCGAGGUGAACUGUGGAAGCCAAUCUGACUCUUCUGAAACUACUGGUCGACAGACCUACACACAUUUAUCUCACACCUCACAAGCUAAUUAUACACCAACUGGUCUCCCCCCAAGGUUUUUGUUCCUUCUCAGUUGUAUACAAGAGCCCAAACCUGUCAUUUCAUCAAGGGAUCACGAUGACAAUAUGUACAAACAAAAUACUUCCAUUUGAACUAACUGGCCUUUAUCCAGCAUCUAGUUCGCCACUUUUAUGGCAUACACCAGCUCCUGAAAUGAAAGUAUAACAUUUAGAAGAAAUGUGAACGAGAUUAAUCAGAUAAUCAAAGUGUUUGAUCUCACCAGAACACCGUUAGGAAAUGUGAAUGAGGAGCGCAAGUCUGAAAGGCGUUGCUCCCCUGCUAGCCUUGCUUUGUCGAGACCAGACGGGUUAGUGCUGACAGGAUUGCUGUAAGAAGGCUUCAGCGCAUACAUCUCAACUUCUUCAUCUUUGUGAGAUGUCUGACUGGCAACAAACUACACAAAGACAUCAAUCUGUAAGUUCUGAUUUCUGAUAGUAGACAAUGCACAAGUGUUUCAAUAAGUACUGACCUGACAAAGUUGUUUGAUGGAGAGAGUUGGGCCGCAACACAGAUAUGACUUCUCCAGAUUUGGUGCCGUUUGUCCAUCAAGUGGAAGCAGACAAAGAUGUACAUCACGCUGUCAAAUAAAGUCAGUCACUAAUGCAAUGCAGUGCAACACUGUAAUGAAUAAGGAAACAUAUCAUGAGCAUUUUUGUGUUCACCUCGCCGUCAUUGUCGUCAGAAUUUCGUAAGCACUCAACCAACUUGAUCAUGCGCCCACCCUUGACCAUCCUACCAUUUGAACCACUGAAGCUACUGUGGCGAGUCUGACUGCGAGUGCCAUUCUUUCCCCAUGCUCGUAGAGGAGAUGUGCUAAAAUUUUCCUUGGAUAUUCCUACAUCAUCCUUUUCAUCAGAAGCAACCUCGUCAUUGCAUGCUCCUCGGGCAGGUGAAGAACGUGGCGUUGGCCAUUUUGGCAGUCGUUUCGGCUUUUUCUCUGGGGAACUCUCCUCAGCAGAUGAGGCCUCUUUGCUACAGUUUUCACCGUUUCCAUCCUCUUCAUCUUCAGAACCGGCCAGAGCAACAUCAUCAGAAUUGGCUCUUCCUCGGCCACGGAAAUAGGUAUUCUGCCCAUUAGGCCGAAUGUUACGGCGUGAUCUUCUUACAAAUGCAGCAGCAGUAGCUUUGGCAGUAGACUUCCGCCCAAUAACUUCUGAUUGUUUCCGAAAAGCCUCAGCAAUGGAUGCUUGAAUCUUCACAUGUACAUUAAUCAGGAAAAUGAACUUGAGUUCGAUGUAAAAAUAAAUACAGAGAGAAACAAAAUGGCAGAUUGCAAACAAAUAUGUCAAUCAUUAGUUCGGGUCUUUAUAGGUGUUAAACUUGAAUACAAGGGCAUUUACAUAUGCACGGACAUCAAAACAAUGUUCUUGGGUUCUUGAAGAGAAAGGCUUCUAAAUAUUCAUCUGCACUUUGUAGCCAGUGUAGGAAGUUGGCAGUUUCAUGACUCCACUAUUCAUGUAGUUAACAUAAGUUUCCACUCAUUGGAACAAAGAGCAGGCUUCACAGUUUACAGUUCCAAAUAAGAUAAUGAAGUUCUGCCACUAACAAAGUUAACAUGAAAAAAAUUGUCUAUUUCAUUUUUAUUCCUUUAUGAAGUUCUCUUUAUUUUCGAAGAAAUUUAUGAAGUUCUCUGUCAUUAACUUAUUCUUAUCCUUCUGCAAGAAGUGUAGUUGGACCAAACAACCAGCUCAAUGCUACGAUAUCAACUUAGUCCAAGUGAUUCCAGGGCACCUGUCUAUGCUUGGACACAUUAAAACAUUUUCUUUUGAAAGGAGCAAAAAAGGGGUAACAGAGUUGACCAAAUUUGAUUCUUUAUAAAUGAAAUUUAGCUGGGAUUUUUCGACUACCCAUCCAGAAAAUGCUAAUGUAGGGAUGAUCCACAUGGGACAAAAUUCUACGAGAAGUAGCAGGGAAUCAUACCACACCAUUUUUGUAACACGCAGGUUUAGAGACCUAAGUCAUAACUGAUGGGGGAAUAUUUGAUGCGAAACAUCACAACAGAUUCACAUGAAAGUGGAUAUAAAACUGGUAUCAGCAAAACAGAAAUAGAAAAGAACCUGCUUAUUGCGGUCAUUCUCCUCUUCGUUGAACGCUAGCUCCUGGACAUGGGACAAUGCAUAAACAUUUACUAGGAUCAAUGUCUUAAUAUGAAUAAACAAAUAUCAAGUACAAUACCUCUUCUUCAUAUUUGUCAAUAUCUGGGUAUAGAGCUGCAAUCAAGGCAUCAUAGUUCGGAUCAUCUCUCAAAGAACGCCGACUGGCACAAUGUGUGCGGCAUGCUGGGCACUCAUUGUUCCUAUAUAGCAAAGGGAUAUGUAAGUAACAAUACUGUGCUACUCAACAUGGGCUGACAUAAUGUCUGAUGUACAUGCAAAGAAACAUGCAGGGAUGCAUGUCACAAUAUAGAACAAAAGAAGAGAACUGUAAGUCUUGACUCAGAAGCCAAAACAACACAACAGCAAUGCCAUAUAAUAGUCAUAUAUUACCCAAGUCGCAUGGAUUUGUCAAUGCAUUCUCUACAGAACCGGUGCAGGCAUUCCAUAACUGUUCUAGUCUUCCGGAUGAUGCCUAGCAGCAUAAGAUGGUUCCACAAUCAGUAAAUUAAAGUUGACAUUCAGUUAUGCAACAUGUUUACAGAGUUUGUGUAUGACACCAAGAGUGAAAUUGACAAGGAGUUAUAUCUGCAAGCAACAUCUUUCUGUUAAAAAUUUGGCUAAAAAAAGCUACAAAAUUAAAAAUGGAAAACCAAAAGCUUCAUUGAAACCAUUAUUUACUGCCAGAAUGAAGUUAGUUUUAGUUAAGCAUGACUAAAAUAUGUACCAGCCAUUGGCUCUAGCUCCUAAUAAAUGGCAUGUCCAAGAAAAUUCUUAUCUUUGUGGCAAGGGUUCUCUCCAACUGAAGUAUAGGUGGGUUUCAAAAUACUGAAAUGUCACAUUGUGUGUUUGCAAUGUGUAUAUGAAUAAUCUAGCCAUAUAGAAAUGGCAUUUGUGUAGGUACCUAAGCAUAUGGGACACUGCACUUCUUUGCGUACAUCCGGCAAUUUUACUGGUACAAACCUGCAAGUGUCAGUGCAAGUGUCAAAACUCUUUAAAAUGGGUGGGAAAAGCAAGAGAAAAUGAACAUCAUGUAACUAAAUUAUAAGAAUUAUAAAAACUUGAGGUGAAGCACUAGAUUACUCUAGUAUAGUAGUAUAGAUCAUAUAUGCUACAGAAGGUGGUGCUAAAGGUGUAAUUUGAGAAAUAGUCAGAGCUUACAAAGGAGCUGUAUGUUCAGGACUAAAAAAAUCGACCUACAAGGGGUAAGACAGCCCACAGGCAUUGCAUUAAGGAGACCUUCUCACCUAUAUCAAGAAAACCCGCCCACCCAUACAUAAUGGCAUUGUAGCCCAUGUGAGAACAACCAUGACCAGGCCAGAACUUAGACCUGUCCUUUGGCGUGGGACAGACGAGGGGACUUUUUUAACCCCAGCCUUAAUUUGCUCCCACAGGGAAUCGACCCCGGGACCUGAUGAGUGCUACUCAAGCCACCUAACCAACUCAGCUAGAGGCCCUUCCGCUGUAUGUUCAGGACUAACACACUGCAUGUGCUUUCAUUUCAGUUCAUGCAUGUAAAAAUGACUGAGGCAAACAAAUAGUUUAUCAACUUGCUAGAAAUUAUGGGAAGCUAAUAUCCUAGGCAAACACAUUGUAAAAUCUGCUGUCUAAAGUCCAGAGGCAAACAACAUUGCUCAAGCUCAGCCCCGAUUACAUGUCAAAAUCUAAAAGUUAACCUUGUUUUUAUUUUUCUUGGAAUGUUCCAUCUAAAUCCUAGGUAGGCAGCUUGCACUAUGAUGUUGCUGACAAGAAAAUUCAGGCCUAGGCCAUGUAACUUGGGACUAUCCUGGAUACAUAAUAACCAUCCAAAGCUAAGUUAAAGAUGACUGUUACAAACUAAUAAGCAAACUUGGCUUUCAUUCGCUUUUGUCCUCUGCAUUUGGUUGUGUGACAUCAAAAUAAGGCAAGAGCCAGACUCAUAUACCAUAACAGACAUGCAUGGAGCAAUACCCAUCACUAACAGAGAAACGAGAGUACAAAAUAAAAGGCUAAUGUUCACUUACCUCAUCACUGUCUUUUGUCAGAAUAAUUAACAUCUAAGUUGUAAAAGUUUAUUGAAAUAUCUUUUCACUAGGCAGAAAUAGCCAUGUGAUCUUAUACUCUUAUUACAAUCAAUCUGUGUACCAAAUCUAUAGGCAUAGCAGCAACUGUACAUCAGUAUGCAUAUCAGCAAUUAGACUAAAGCUGUAUGCAUUUAAAAACACUCUAGUUCAAAGCUUUAAUUAACUAGGGGUGGUGGGGUCUACCAGUAUGCCAAAAGCUUCACCUACCAAUUCUGAAUAGGCUUCCAAGCUCAUAAUGUAUGUUUCAAUUAAUAGCUGGAUGGAGCUUAGAUAUUGCAACUGGCAUCCUUAAUUAUUAAGCAUAAUUGUUAAGCAGUAAAUAAAGGAUGAUGCAGUCACAUUGAAAGCUACACUCCAUGUUCAGUUUCACUGUAGUGACGAAAAGGGCAUUAUGAUGUGUGAGCUGAAACUUGUUGCUGGAGAGAGGCAGGAUCAACAGGUUUUCUUAAAUAAGGAACAUGAUCAAUAUCUAACCACCAAUUAAGCACUUCAUUCUACUUGUAACUGCACGGAAAGAUCUGCAGUAUCAUCCCUAACCCACACUAGACUGUAGGAUUGAAAACUUGAGCACUCUUCACGACUGCCUCAAACUUCAUACCCCCUUUGGUAACCUGGCUCUAUUAAUAAUAAGAGGUAGGACUUAUGAAUCAGAUGAUGACUACAGCAAGCGCUUGCAUCUGCACAACUUGUGUUGCUUGGGUGUCAACGGAAUUCACAGAGAUACUGCUUCUCACAGGUAAAAAAAAUAGUGCAAACCAUGCUCUACAUCUAUGGCUCGUCGCCUCUCUUCCCGCAUACAGCCCCCAGAAAUCCGCAGCCAGCCAUGGUCAACUAGGAAAAGACCGACGGGCUCGGCUCAGGCACGAGAGCUGAUCAACGGGCCAACGACAGAGAGCGAACACGCGCGCGAGUGGGCGCUUAGCGGUGGCAAAUCUGGAGCACGCAUCAGGAAGGAAACCACGACGACGGGGAAAGGAGAGCGGCAACCGGCAAAGCAAGCAAACAACGGGGACGGUUGGCGAGCGUCCGAGCACGUACUCCUGCUUUGCGGCGUCCGCGUCCUCCGACUCAGACUCCUCCGAUUCCGCCGCCGCCGCCGCCGCCUUCGCGCCGGAAUCUGCGAGCAAAGGCAAACAACGUGGGCGGGAGAGGAAAUAAACCAGCAUCAGCGCGUGGAGAUCGAGGAGAAGAGCGCCGUCGACCCACGUGGGAGGGGCGGCGGCAGGGCGAACGAACGAACGAGCGGCUCACCGUUAGCGUUGCCGUUGGCUUCGGCGCCGCCGCCGGCGCUGCCGUUCUCCUCCAGCUUGGGCUUCUUCUCCGCGGGCUCGGCCGUCGGCGGCGGCGGAGACGCGGGAGGGGGCGAGCCGGCGGCGGAGGGGGGCGGCGAGGGUGGCGGGGGCGGGCGCUUCUGGGCGGGCAUUUGGGCUGCGGCGGCGGAGCAGGCUGCGUCGAGCGGGUCGCGUGGAGAGGCGGCGAGGUGGGGCGGGCGGGGGCGCGGCGCGGGGCGGGGCGGGCGUUGCUAGGCUGGGGCGGGGCGGGGCUGGCACGGGGAUCUCUCCGUCUGCGGGGCUGGCUUUUCUACGGCUCCUGGCUUCGGAGCGGGUGCAGAUGUGGGUGCAGCCGGUUUGGGUUGGUGCCGAGUUCGUGUCGCGCUCGCGCCCGGUCGGUGGUGCUCGUAUGGCUUGCUCCGUCUAAAAAACAUUUUUUUACUUUGCUCGUUUUAUUUAAAACUUUUAUAUAAAUUAUAAAAUAAAAAAUCAUUACUAAUAUAUCUUUAAUGAUUAAAUAAGUUAUAUUAAAAUAGAUAAUAUUUAUAUAAAAAGUUUAUAAUCUAUACCUAUCUAUAAAGAGCCAAAAUUUCAGUUUGUCAAAUACUUUCUUCUGCCCCCGUGUUCGGUUUAGGAUCGCCUUCUCCCUCCAAAGUUUCUAGAAGGGCAAAAACAAAAUAAAAAACAUUCUAGAGUUCCUAAUGCAAAAUCUCAUAUUACUCCGUUACGAUGGAAGAGAAAAAAAAUAAAAAAUUUUCUAGAGUUCCCAAUAUAAAAUCUCCAAUUUACUUUUCUUUUAUUUUUUAAAUCGGUUGAAAAAUAAUAAAUAUAUAGUAAUUCAUAGAAAAAUCUAAAAAAUAUAAAACAAAUUUUGUUCAGCUCCACAUAUGUAGAUCCAUGCAGUAAACAAAAAAUAUCAUAAAUUUUAGUACACUUUUUUUUGGAAAUGCUUGUCUAUGCUUUUUACUGUAAAAUUAAAAUUGUAGUUAUCUUGCUCCAAUUAUUAUAAAAAUUUAAUGAUAGCCUAUUUAAUGUGAUGCUUGAUUCAUAUUUCAUAGCAAUCCUAAUCUAAAUUAAAAAAAUAAUGUUAGCAUCAAACUUCUCAUGUUUUAAUAUAAUACUGAGGCAUAUUAAGAGGUAAUAUUAGAGUGAGAUAAGAUUUAACUAUUUUCUAUUUUUAUUAUUAAAUAAAUAUGUCUUUAAGCUAUAUAUUAUUGUAAAUAUUAAUUAUCUAAUACCAUAGAUGUUAUGGCGACUUUAAAUUUUAUAAAAAGGAUAAAUAUAAAUAGAUAUGUAACAUUAUGUCAUCACUUUUUAGAGUUAGUCAAAUAAGAGGUUUGAAAGUAAACCGUAACUGUCUUUUUGAGACGGGAGUACGCGCUUCGGCCUUCGGGGUUGCGGGUGCCCGCUGCCCGAGCCCGAACAAGGCGGCGCUCUUGUUUGCCGUGCCGCGCAGGGCUGCCGGCCGAGCUCGGCGGCCGGGAUGUCAACGAGCUCCAGACCGUCGAUUUGGUCAGCGAGACUGUUCGCUCUUCCAGGUCCGAGUCCCGACGGCCACAAGUAAAUGCGUGAUCUUUGGAAGUUAUAUCAAAGAAAGUACGCACGGCUAGUUGUUUUUUUAAAACCAAACUUGGUAUAAAGAAUUUUUCCAUGAUUAUUAGGCCAUUUACAAUGGUGUUAGCUAUGUACUUUCUCCAUCUAUUUAUCGGAAUCAUUUUAUCGAAAAAAAAUUCUCUAAGAAUUGGAGUCAUCUAGAAACCACUAUUUUCACCUUUUCUCGAGCAUAUACGGUUUCUCUCACUAGUCUAAUUAAUUCAAUUGUUUGCAUGCAGCACCUUUCACUGGCCGAAUUAAUUUCUCCUCAGCCACUUCGCAUGACUCUAAAUGACUCCGACAAAUGGAUGAAGGGAGUACAAGUUUAUAUAGAGGUGAGAGAUAAAAGCAAAAAGUUAUUUUAUAUAAUCUUAUUUUUAUAUGUACAAUUGGACUCGUAUAUCAUUCUCUUAGAUUCUUAGACUACAUGGAAUAGAUAGGUUAUUUACUCGUCGCUAAUGAUUAUUCUCUUUUCUACAUUUUUAUGUUCAUGUCAGAAUAACUAGCUAAAUAGUCAACUGUUGAAAAUUUUUAGAUUCAUUUAUGAGAAGAGAAACCUUGUUAGAUCCAUGUUAAAAUUAAAAUUAAUAAUCUCCGUGGGCGGCUACAUCGUGAUGAUCAAACGAGAAUCAUCAUCGUACUCCAAAGUCUAAACUGAAGAGAACACCUUCACCAUUGUUCGAGGAGAUUUACAUUUUUAUCAUUAUUAAUAAUAUAGUUCAUUCUAAUAUCAUUCUUAGAAUUGUCCUUACAUAUAUACUAUUGGAGAAAGAAGAAGGGCAUGUUUGGUUGUUAACCAUAGUCUACUACAAGAUCUACAACUAACUUUAGGCAAGUAUGACAAGCCACAAAAGUAUGGCUAGUAAAUUGGUUAUCAUAUUUUACCAUGCCUAAAGUAAUAUAUUCACACUUUUUAACUUUAUGAUAUGUAGAGCCAAAAAGAAUCAUAUCUAAACUUAGUUGUCAACCAAACACCUCUCAUCUUGGUAAAACUUGUCUAAGGUAAAGUGUGGUAAACUGUACUCCGUAGUUAGCAACCAAACAACCUCCAAAAUCUUACAAGUUUACCAAAAACAGACCUUUUUGUUUAUGCGGCGUGCCAAAUCAGGGUGCGAGCAUAGAUACGCACGGUGAAAAGGUUGCCCGUGCCCUACUCCCCUCUCCCCUACAGUUGGGCACCACAUGUGGUGUCACUACCACGUGGGACCCACUCGUCAAAAUCGUCUUCCACCUUCAGCAUCUAGAUGUGAAAUGGGGUGGCAUCGAGAUGUGGAGCUCAUGGGCAUAGCUAGGCACGGCCUCGGUGGGCGCAGGCGUGGCCAUGGACACGCGUGGCCCCAACGAGCACACGAACCUAACCAUGGCGGGGUGCGUUGUCCAGCUGGUGCAGGGACGUAGAGCAAUGUUGCAGCGCUCCAGCAGCAUGGGCGCCUCAACGAUGCACGGGAGGUUCGCUAUGGUCGCAUCGAACACCGCGAGUACCGAGCGAUGGUGGAUGUGGACAAGCUCGACGCUGAAGAUGGCCACGUGCAUGAGCUAGAGCACGAACUUGCCGCCCACCUUGAGCCCCGCUGUGACCGGCUAUGACACAAUAUGGAAAGCGAUGACCGCAACAGCCCUCCAUCUUAUGUAUGGGUAGUUAGGUACCACACCUGAUUGACCACUGCCCCUAGUAGAGUUUGAGGAGCGAUGAGAACGGGAGGUACUUCGCGAGCUUCACAUCUUGCGCGCCAAUCCAUGGGUGUAGUGGUGUCUUCAUGCUUGAUAGAAGCGCCCUCAUCUAGGUGCUAAAGGUGGAAGACGAAUCUGACGAGUGGGUUCUACAUAGCAGCGACACUAAAUGUGGAACACAACUGUAGGAGAGAGAGAAGAGAAGAGUAGAGAAGGGGCAUCUUUGUCUUUUUACCGUGUGUCUCCAUGCUAGCAUCCUGAUCUGGCACGCUACACAAGUAAAAAGAUUUAUUUUUGGUAAACUGGUAAGAUUUCUUCUCUCUCCAAUGGUAUAUAUGUAAGGACAAUUCUAAGAGCGAUAUUCACAUGAAUAUUGUCUUGUUUAUUUGGCUGAUAAGUCGUGAUAGAAAAUAUUAUUGAUUAAUUUAUUGUGUGAGAAAAAUAUUAUUGAAUGACAAGCUGAUUAUUCGUCUGAUAAUCUCCUCUUUUUUUAUUAGGUUUUGACCGUUUGUUCUUUGUUGGAUCAACCAGAAAACUCUCCUCCCAAACCAAAAUUGCCGCCUUCGCUUCGGUGUCCUUCCACGGCAGGGACUCGCCGGACGGCCGGAGCACCACCCGCCUCCGUCCAUGUCCCUCAACCGCCUCAAGGAAACCCUCAACGCCUGCUCCUCUUCUUUCUCCCAACCACAGACCCAACCGCGCUCACCGCCGCACCACCCCGCUCUCCUUCCGCGGAGACCCCCAAAGACGUCCCUUUCGCAGCAGCUCCUCCGCCUCGAGGCCGCCGCCUCUUCCUCCUCCUCCUCCUCCUUUUCCUCCAGGCCCGUACAGCUCCCACCCGUCCCCAGGUCCCCGAUCCAGAAGCCGCGGGAGGUCGAUGAACCGCCGUCGUCAGAGGACGAGGACGAGAGAAAAAGUCGCCCCAUUAUCCGCCGCUGCCAGCCUCCGCCACCACCGGCCGCCCUCGAGUCCCGCGGGCCAUUCGAGCCACUUGUGCUCUCGCUGCCUGGAGAACACCCUGUCGUCCAGGUACCGUACUGCCCCUGCGUCUCCUCGGUGGCAGUAGAUUCGUUAGGGCUUGUCUCGCAAGAAUCACUUGCCCACGACUAGUUCAGUUUCAGUAUUACUAGUACAAAGGGAUUUAUGGCAACAGGAGUUUGAUCAUUACAAAGUAUUUAUGAAUAUAAACCUGAUAUAAUCACGUUUUUAGUGUAAACUUUUCAUAUGAAUAUUAUAAUCAUAUGAAUAUUAUAAUUAGACUAAUUAUUGGUCAAAGGCGACAAAGUUUGAAUUUUGAAAUACAUGCACACCUUGUAUUUUGGGAUGGAGUAAGUAGUGAUAAAUCCUACUUCUUGGGAGAUGAGGGAGAGCGAAAAAAUAUCGCAUAACAGUUUGCCAUAGCAUAUCUUGCUGUUCUUGAUGGCCUGCGGUUUGUCUCAGUUAAAUAGAAAUUGGUAAAUGAAGAUACAUUGCGAUAGAGAUAGGUCCAGGGGAAUUCAAGAACACAAUAGUUGAUGCCCUGCAGUUUAUCUCAGUUAAAUACAAGAAGCCAGUAGUUGAUGAUGAGCUAUUGACAUGCAUUUUACAUCAUAAGUUGACUUUUACAUGUUCCAUGGUUGAUGGGACGUGUAUUAUGUGGUUGAUGGACUGCUUUCCUUUCAUCAUCUGACCUUCAGGAUUUAUGUUGGACCAGAUCUCGAGGUCUCUUUGACAAUACUAUUUUUUACAAC
rnacentral:lncRNA from 1 species